AGUCGCCACGGUAAUACGAAGGGGGCAAGCGUUGUUCGGAAUUACUGGGCGUAAAGGGCGCGUAGGCGGUGUACUAAGUUAGGCGUGAAAGCCCUGGGCUCAACCCGGGAAUUGCGCUUGAUACUGGUACGCUAGAACCCAGGAGAGGUUGGUGGAAUUCCCAGUGUAGAGGUGAAAUUCGUAGAGAUUGGGAAGAACACCGGUGGCGAAGGCGGCCAACUGGACUGGUAUUGACGCUGAGGCGCGAAAGCGUGGGGAGCAAACAGGAUUAGAUACCCCCGUAGUCCCUGUCUCUUAUACA
rnacentral:rRNA from 1 species